rnacentral:rRNA from 1 species
UACGUAGGGUGCAAGCGUUGUCCGGAAUUAUUGGGCGUAAAGAGCUCGUAGGCGGCUUGUUGCGUCGGCUGUGAAAUCUCGGGGCUUAACUCCGAAACUGCAUUCGAUACUGCCGUGCUUGAGGACUGGAGAGGAGACUGGAAUUUACGGUGUAGCGGUGAAAUGCGUAGAUAUCGUAAGGAAGACCAGUGGCGAAGGCGGGUCUCUGGACAGUUCCUGACGCUGAGGCACGAAGGUCAGGGGAGCAAACGGG